rnacentral:rRNA from 1 species
GCGCACGGGUGCGUAACGCGUAUGCAAUCUGCCUUGUACUGGGGUAUAGCCCAGGGAAACUUGGAUUAAUCCCCCAUGGUAUGUAAAUGUGGCAUCACAUUUCCAUUAAAGGUUACGGUACAAGAUGAGCAUGCGUCCUAUUAGCUAGUAGGUGUGGUAACGGCACACCUAGGCUACGAUAGGUAGGGGUCCUGAGAGGGAGAUCCCCCACACUGGUACUGAGACACGGACCAGACUCCUACGGGAGGCAGCAGUGAGGAAUAUUGGACAAUGGACGAAAGUCUGAUCCAGCCAUGCCGCGUGCAGGAAGACGGCCCUAUGGGUUGUAAACUGCUUUUAUACGGGAAGAAUAAGGACUACGUGUAGUCCGAUGACGGUACCGUAAGAAUAAGCACCGGCUAACUCCGUGCCAGCAGCCGCGGUAAUACGGAGGGUGCAAGCGUUAUCCGGAAUCAUUGGGUUUAAAGGGUCCGUAGGUGGACUGAUAAGUCAGUGGUGAAAGUCUGCAGCUCAACUGUAGAAUUGCCAUUGAAAC